UACUCUUCGGGGUUGUAGGACUGCAAUGUGGACUCAAAGAUUAUAGAAGAAUGAUUUGGGAAGAUCAGCCAAAGAGAGUAAUAGCCUCGUAUUUAAAAUAGUCUUUGUACUUAGCAGUAUCCUGAGUACGGCGGGACACGUGAAAUCCCGUCGGAAUCUGGGAGGACCAUCUCCCAACCCUAAAUACUCCCUAGUGACCGAUAGUGAACCAGUACCGUGAGGGAAAGGUGAAAAGCACCCCGGGAGGGGAGUGAAAUAGAACCUGAAACCGUGUGCCUACAACAAGUUCGAGCCCGUUAAUGGGUGAGAGCGUGCCUUUUGUAGAAUGAACCGGCGAGUUACGUUAUGAUGCGAGGUUAAGUUGAAGAGACGGAGCCGUAGGGAAACCGAGUCUGAAUAGGGCGCCUUAGUAUCAUGACGUAGACCCGAAACCAUGUGACCUACCCAUGAGCAGGUUGAAGGUGCGGUAAGACGCACUGGAGGACCGAACCAGGGCACGUUGAAAAGUGCUUGGAUGACUUGUGGGUAGCGGAGAAAUUCCAAACGAACUUGGAGAUAGCUGGUUCUCUCCGAAAUAGCUUUAGGGCUAGCGUCGACAUUAGAGAUUCUUGGAGGUAGAGCACUGUUUGGGUGAGGGGUCCAUCCCGGAUUACCAAUCUCAGAUAAACUCCGAAUGCCAAUGAAUUAUGGUCGGCAGUCAGACUGCGAGUGCUAAGAUCCGUAGUCGAAAGGGAAACAGCCCAGACCACCAGCUAAGGUCCCAAAAUAAUUGUUAAGUGGAAAAGGAUGUGGGGUUGCACAGACAACUAGGAUGUUAGCUUAGAAGCAGCUAUUCAUUCAAAGAGUGCGUAAUAGCUCACUAGUCGAGUGACCCUGCGCCGAAAAUGUACCGGGGCUAAAACAAUUUACCGAAGCUGUGGAUACCUUUAUAGGUAUGGUAGGAGAGCGUUCUAUGUGUGAUGAAGGUAUACCGUGAGGAGUGCUGGAACGCAUAGAAGUGAGAAUGCCGGUAUGAGUAGCGAAAGACAGGUGAGAAUCCUGUCCACCGUAAGACUAAGGUUUCCAGGGGAAGGCUCGUCCGCCCUGGGUUAGUCGGGACCUAAGGAGAGACCGAAAGGUGUAUCCGAUGGACAACAGGUUGAUAUUCCUGUACUAGAGUAUGUAGUGAUGGAGGGACGCAGUAGGCUAACUAAAGCAGACGAUUGGAAGAGUCUGUCUAAGCAGUGAGGUGUGAAUUGAGUCAAAUGCUUAAUUCUAUAACAUUGAGCUGUGAUGGGGAGCGAAGUUUAGUAGCGAAGUUAGUGACGUCACACUGCCAAGAAAAGCUUCUAGCGUUUAAACAUACUCUACCCGUACCGCAAACCGACACAGGUAGUCGAGGCGAGUAGCCUCAGGUGAGCGAGAGAACUCUCGUUAAGGAACUCGGCAAAAUGACCCCGUAACUUCGGGAGAAGGGGUGCUGACUUUAAGUCAGCCGCAGUGAAUAGGCCCAAGCAACUGUUUAUCAAAAACACAGCUCUCUGCUAAAUCGUAAGAUGAUGUAUAGGGGGUGACGCCUGCCCGGUGCUGGAAGGUUAAGAGGAGUGCUUAGCGUAAGCGAAGGUAUGAAUUGAAGCCCCAGUAAACGGCGGCCGUAACUAUAACGGUCCUAAGGUAGCGAAAUUCCUUGUCGGGUAAGUUCCGACCCGCACGAAAGGCGUAAUGAUUUGGGCACUGUCUCAACGAGAGACUCGGUGAAAUUUUAGUACCUGUGAAGAUGCAGGUUACCCGCGACAGGACGGAAAGACCCCAUGGAGCUUUACUGCAGUUUGAUAUUGAGUGUCUGUACCACAUGUACAGGAUAGGUAGGAGUCUAAGAGAUCGGGACGCCAGUUUCGAAGGAGACGCUGUUGGGAUACUACCCUUGUGUUAUGGCCACUCUAACCCAGAUAGGUGAUCCCUAUCGGAGACAGUGUCUGACGGGCAGUUUGACUGGGGCGGUCGCCUCCUAAAAGGUAACGGAGGCGCCCAAAGGUUCCCUCAGAAUGGUUGGAAAUCAUUCGCAGAGUGUAAAGG
rnacentral:rRNA from 1 species